rnacentral:rRNA from 1 species
UACGUAGGGGGCUAGCGUUAUCCGGAAUUACUGGGCGUAAUGGGUGCGUAGGUGGUUUCAUAAGUCAGAGGUGAAAGGCUACGGCUCAACCGUAGUAAGCCUUUGAAACUGGGAAACUUGAGUGCAGGAGAGGAGAGUGGAAUUCCUAGUGUAGCGGUGAAAUGCGUAGAUAUUAGGAGGAACACCAGUUGCGAAGGCGGCUCUCUGGACUGUAACUGACACUGAGGCACGAAAGCGUGGGGAGCAAACAGGAUUAGAUACCCUGGUAGUCCCU